AAGAGCUGGAGGAAGUGAAAAGAACGAGGCUGACGGAGACGUCUGGUGGGUCUGGAGGUUCUGGUGGCUUGACCGGAGGAGUUUCAAUCGGAAGAUGCUUGUUCCGUGCCGGAUCUGAAGGAGGCCUGGGCUGUGAAAGAGGAGGAAGGGCUGUCACCAUCAUCUUCAAGGAGGAGGAGCAGUGCUGCAUCAAGCCAAGGAACGACGGCGGCGGCGGAUCUGGAGGGGGGCGGAGACACGACGGAGGAAUAGUCACCAUCAUGGCCAUGGAGAGGAGCAGGGCUGUUUCAGAGAGUGGAGGAAAGAGUGGCGUGGUUAGAGCAAGGAAGAUCCAUCGAAACGGCGCCUCGGGAUGCGGGCUCGAGAGAGUUUCUCUCUAGGGCGAACUAUGUGACACUCUGAGGGUUUAAAAUACGAUUUUCCUAUAUAUAUAUAUAUAUAACUGUUUCAAAUAGCGUCAAUUUGAAAAAAAGUGAAGAGAUUUGUCUUUUUCGUGUAAUUUAAAUAUUUAGAUUGAUUAAUCCUCAUUCUUUUUUCUUUGAUUGCAAUGUAUACUAGAACAAGGUUAAGAUCCGCACCUUGCGCGGGAUGAACAUUAUACAUAUAAAUUAUUUUAUAUAUUAUAUGUUUAUAGCAUAUUAUGAAAUAAUAAAUAUAUAUUGAAUAAUUAAAAAGUCAUUAUCUACUACUUAUAUAAUUAAAUUGGUGCGACCAUAUAAAUAAAUUUAAUAAAUCAAAAAAUUAUUUUUUCUAUUUGAUAUGAUAUAUAAUUAAAUUUAAAUGAUAGUAACAUAUAUAUGGUAUAUGUUAAUAUUAAUAUUUAUUGGAUGAUGCUUUUUGCUCAGAUUUGUUUUUUUAUCAUUUGUAUCUCUUAUAGCAAAAAAUUUAAAUUAGUGAUAACAAAAUUUUCACUGUGAAAAUAACGGUUUAAGUAAUUUAUAAUAUUUAUGAAAAUUAAGUUGUCAAUAUUUUUUCAAAAUUUUUAUCAAAAAAAUGUUCAAAGUAAAUUUCAAAAUUACGAUAUUUAUGUAUUUUUAUAUGGCAUAUAGUUCAAUUUAAAAUGAUACAUAUAUUUAUAUAUAUUUUAUUUUUGAUACUUAUUAAAUGAGACUUUCAAGUUAUAUUAUUUUUCAAUUAUUUGUAUCAUGUCGUAACAAAAGUUUUAAAUCAUAGAUCAUAAAAUUUGAAUGUGAAACUUUUAACAGUUUUAGUAAUUUAUUAUUAUUUUUAAAAAUUCAAAAUAUAAUAUAUAAAUCAUUUUUUAAAUUUUUAUUAUAUGGUUACUAUGAUUGUUUAAUUUAUUUUAAUAGCUUAAAAUUAAACAAAUAUAAUUAUAAUACACACUUAUUUUUAUCAAAUCUUUAUUAUUCAAAAUCAUUAAUUGUCAUAUAUACUUUAGUCACAUUAGGCAAUUCCGUAAUCUUAUUUAAGAAAAUAAUGAAUCAUAUUAAUAAUGUAUUUAUUGUGGUUUAAUAAAAAGCUUAUUAUAUAUUUAAAUGGACCAACGUAUUUCUCUAAGGAUUCUAAAAAUUAUUCAAGUGAUGAUACGUGGCUACAAAAAAUUGUUGCAAUGCUUCUCAAAUAAUAUAUAGGGGAUAUUCACUGCUAUGCUUCUGCGUAAAUAUUAAAGCAUCGUUAGUCACGAUUGAAGUAAUCACGAUUGAAGUAAAAACAACAUGGAAUAGAUAAUGAAAGAGAGAUAGAUAGUGUUUGUUCAUUAGGCAAAAAAUGAUUCCAUGUUUAGAUCUAAGACAUAAAGACAAAGGGAAUCAAAUCCCCUAUAUAUUAUUUGAGUAGGACGCUGCCGAAAGGAUUCUGUUCUCUCUACAUCGAAAAACGAUACGCACCGAUUCAAUGGAUCUGAAAAAUACUCUCCUUCGCGCCUCUGCUCCUUCAAUUUCCGUUCUCUUCCUUUGGAUGUGAAAAGCUCCAAAUACCUUCAAAUCGAUUUAGAACCAACUAUUGUCAAAACAUUUGCUAAAAGCAAACUUUGACUCUUCUUAAGUUGACCCACAAACCGUGGAGGAUAAUCUGUAAAACCCAAAACUCUUGUCCUUCUGAAUACUUUGCCAAGAUUUAUAACAGCAAAGAUUGAUUUCAUCCAGAAAAAGAGAUUGAGGAUGACCAUCGGAAAAAGAUGAAAACCAAGAAACAGCCGGAAUAUUUAUUAACCCAGAGAGUAUUAGAAGAUUAUUCACAAACACAACAAAAGUAUCGCAAAGCGAAGAUUUUAAGUCGGCUAAACCGAAGCAUACAUCCGCAAACGGAAAGGAAAAUCGAACUAAGCCGAAGGUCCGAUCAAAUAUUUACAUACAAAAAAACAAAAGGAGAAAAAGGUAACCAGCGGUGGUGAAACCACCGGCCCCUAAACGCUAUUUGUUUUCUUUGAAAGUUCUUAGAGAGAGGUUAGAGAAAAAGUAGAGAGAUAAUGGAUUAACAGUAUUAAAGCCCAAUAAAACCACACUCUCCCGUAAAAGAAAAAAAACGAAGCACAGUCUCGCGUAAAAGAAAAAAGUGAAGCUCCCUCCGUCUUUGACACGUGGCGGCAAAAGGAACAGGAUGUGCUGAGGUGGCACUCUAAGGAGAGUUUCUCGGCAACUUUAUUAAGAUAGAUAUAUGUUUUUUUGCUUAACUCUCUUUAUAUUCUUGUUGUGAUACGUAAGGUCCGGCCAUUGUGUUAUUUAACCGAGAGAUUCUUAUAUACAUGUAGGGAAAAUAUCAUUUUAAAUCCUGAGAAUGUCACAUUCUCGCACUUUAAACACUGAACAUUUUUUACUAACACUUUAAACCUUGAAAUUGACAUUUUUAUCAUAACAAACCUCCAAGUCAACUAGGUGACAUGUACUGUUUAUUUUGUGAUGACGUGUCGAUUUUUUCAAUUUCUUUUUUCUUUCUUUUAAAUAAAAAAUAAAAUACACAGAAAAUUAAAAAGAAAUUUAAAAAAAUUUAAAAAAUCAAAAUGUCGAAAAAACGAAAAAUAUUCAAAAAAUCUAAAAUUUCAAAAAAAAUAUAAAAAACAACAUUUCAAAAUUAAAAAUAAAAGAAAUAUGUUUAAAAAUUAAUCCAAUUAUAAACCAAUAUAAGUAUAUAUAAAAUAAUAAGUUGAAUGGUGAUUCUAGAUUUUGGUUUUCGGUUUUUGAUUUUUAAAAAAAAAAAUUGAUUUAUUAAUACUUAACUUGUUAAAUUUUCAAAAUUAAUCCUAUUAUUUGUAUUAUUUAUUAAAGUGAUAUUUAUUUUAGUAAUUUUAAGUUUGUUUAAAAAGAAAUUAACUUAUAAGUGAAGUUCUUAAAAUAGUAAAUAACUUUGAAAUUAAAUAAAUAAUUAAUCAAACUUUAGAGAAACUAAAAUAUAUGUUACUUAUCUAAGAAGCUCCACUCAUACCAAAACCUAACAUAUACAAAUCUAAAGGCAUAGCUCUCUAUCUCUUAAUUAUAUUUCAAACUAACUUAUAGUAUUUUAGUUAAGGUCAAAAACAUUUUAAGUGGUCUAUGAGAUAAUUUCUAGUUUCACAAAAUUUAAUAAGUUAAGUAUUAAUAAAUCAAAAAUUAAAAAAAAAUCAAAAACCAAAAAAAAAAAGAAUCUAGUAUCACCAUUCAAGUUAUUAUAUAUAUAUAUAUAUUUAUUGGUGUAUAAUUGGAUUAAUUUUUUAAAAAAAUAUUUUAUUUUAUUUUUAAUUUUGAAAUGUUAUUUUUAUAUUUUUUGAAUUUUUCAAAAAAAUCAAUUUUUUUGAAUUUUCUAUGUAUUUUAUUUAUUUAUUUUUUAAGAAAAAAGAAAAAAAAGAAACCGACACGUCAUCACAAAAUGAACAGUACAGAUCAACUCGUUGACUUGGUAAAGUUUGUUAUGAUAAAAAUAUCACUUUCAAAGUUUAAAGUGCAAGUCAAAAACGUUCAGUGUUUAAAAUACGAGAAUGUGACACUCUGAGGAUUUUUUUUAUCAAACCAACUUGUAUUAAAUUCAGAAGAGUUUAAGCUCCAUUAAGGGAGAGUACAACAAAGCUACAAAGAGCCCAAUGGAAUACGAAACAGAUAAACCUAAGAUAGAAUGAAAAUACAAAUCAUAACAAGUAAACAUUAGAAAUCGCAUCACAACGGUUUCAUGAGUAUCUUGAACGAUUGCAUCUCGGGUAACUCUGAGAGUCACAACCACUGCACUAAAGGAAGGGAAGAGCGUUAGCCGGGAGGAGAAUCCUUACAAUACCAGCCACACAUGUUCAUCUAAUUCACUCCAUACAUGAGGAAAUAUUGGGAAAAGAGACUGCUCCAAACAGGAGGCAAGCGGAUAAUCAAUACCCACCAUUACCAUAUUCACCAAGCAACAAAUCACAAUGAUUGUCUCUUUCAACUGCCACCAAGAAGAGAAACACACAGACGCUGCACCACAAACCAAGUUGAAUACAAUAAUAGGACUGCAUACUGCAGUAGAGAGUUGCAUCAACACAACAUAAAAACCACUAAAAGGCACAAAGAUAUAACCAAAGGACACUGAGUCCAUCAGUACACUACCAAAUAAAGCCAAAAACCACAACUCCAGAGUCACCUACAUAUCUAGCAUUGCAUCCUUUUCAAAAGAAUAGGAGUAAACAGAGAGUAAGGAGCUAAGGUGGACCUGGACGUCUAUAAGCGGAUGGAUAAAAUGAAAGCUGGAAUAAGAGCCGGGAGAAGACCCAUUCCCGAGCUGACAAAGAUACAACCUGUGUACCACAGGAGAAGAACGCCAGUUGACAAAGAUAGUGUCACCAGUGAACACAAGAACAGCACCAUCAUCACUGACUUACUUGAAACCCUUGAAUAGUUAAACAUCAGAUCUAGGACUUGAGUAGCUUGUGGAGAAGAGCUGGAGGAAGUGAAAAGAACGAGGCUGACGGAGACGUCUGGUGGGUCUGGAGGUUCUGGUGGCUUGACCGGAGGAGUUUCAAUCGGAAGAUGCUUGUUCCGCGCCGGAUCUGAAGGAGGCCUGGGCUGUGAAAGAGGAGGAAGGGCUGUCACCAUCAUCUUCAAGGAGGAGGAGCAGUGCUGCAUCAAGCCAAGGAACG
rnacentral:lncRNA from 1 species